rnacentral:misc_RNA from 1 species
GAUCAAACCAAAAUUAAGAUUAAAAAAAAUGCCAAAGUCCUCAUUUUGGCGAAGACGAAAUCUUUCCGUCUCUUGCGGUCUCUCUGAGAGCUGAGCCUGAGCUGAAUCAAACCAGCAAAGAAAGCUUUUGAAGUAAGCAAAACUUUUUCUCCUUUCUCAAAUCUCGCACCACUUUCAACUUCUCUAAGUUGAUCUCGUCUAAACUCUCAAGACACACUCUCCCUCUUCUACUGCAGUACUUUUAUUUAGGUCCUGUAGCUGUGAAAGCUUGGAUUCUUAUGUGAAGAGCACAAUGUUCACUGAAGGACUCGAUUCCAACGCCGUUCGAUGGGUUCGAGAGAACCAGAAGGAAGCUACUCUCUCUCGUUCCAGUUUAAGGCCUAGAAUUGGUCCCAUAACUAACAUUAGAGCAGGCAGUCGCGGAUUUGGCUUGCCUCCACCUUCCAAAUUCAGAAGCGGACACCUACCAUCUACUGCAAUUCCGGUGUCCAGAACCAUUCCUGGCGAUAUCGGUGAUAGCCGAUCCGCUUCUGAUAAUGACAUAACCACCGAGUCCGAUGAAGAUGAUGUUUAUGGCGGACGGUAUUCCCUCGAUUCCUCUCCUCGAGACGAAAGAAUCCCCAAUUCCACUGCUAUUGGGCAAAGAUAUGGAAAUGCCGAGCUAAGAGGCGCGCGUUAUGCUACUGAUUAUGUGUACUCCGAUGUUAGUUCGUCAAUGGAGACUGUGGCGGGGAGAGGUGGAAGUGUGGCCGAGAGGGUAGUUAGAGGGAACGGGAGGUAUGAGGUUGGAAGGAAUGGUUACACUGAGGAUGAUUAUGAGUCGUCGGAUUCGGCUGCUAGCUCCGAAUUUUCUACCACGCAAGCUGGGAGUGUUAGUAGUGCUUUGCCUAGGAGUAGGCUGCGUGUUUCUGAGGGAUAUGCUUCGAGCGUGCCUUCUUUGGCUAAUGUUGAACGCAAUGCACGAAAGGAUUUGAAUUCCAGAAACCUUCAGAAUGUGAAAUUUUCUUAUGAUGAUGAUGUUCCCAGUGCACCUCCAUUUUGUGGUUCUGGUCAGGAAAUUAAAGAAAGUGCUGAACUAGCAUCUGGAGUGCAUAAGACCACAGGCAUUACAGAUCCAUGUGGUUUUCCUACCAAUGAUGACAAAAAUGAAAUCAAACCUACUUCUGGAGCUGAACCAAAGGAAAGUUUUGGAAAUGAGAAUCCUGAUCAGUUUGUAAGAACAACUGCUGGUGCAGAAGCUGCUGUGCCUUCUGGUUCAAACCCAGCUCGGCUGCCAACAUUUCACGCCAGUGCAUUAGGGCCAUGGCAUGCUGUGAUUGCUUAUGAUGGAUGUGUGCGGCUUUGUCUUCAUGCUUGGGCAAGGGGAUGCAUGGAAGCUCCAAUGUUCUUAGAAAAUGAAUGUGCUUUGCUGCGGGAGGCAUUUGGUGUGCAGAAUGUGCUUUUGCAAUCAGAGGAGGAACUACUGGCAAAGCGCUCUUCUGAGCUUGUUAAUGAGGGGGCUGCUCCAAAACCUAAGAAAAUCAUUGGAAAGAUGAAGGUGCAAGUGCGUAAAGUGAAAACUGUUCUUGACCCUCCUACUGGCUGUAGUAUGUCAUCUCUGACUCUUAGAGUUCCAAAUCUAAAACUCGAAUCUGUCCGAUAUCGUUUCUCUAAGUUGCGGUCGACACUUUCUACUGCUUGGCAAGCUUUUCGAAAAAUUCAUGUUGCACCUCGCAUGCCUGCAAACGGCUCCUUUUCCCGUCAAAGCUUGGCAUAUGUGCAUGCUAGCACUCGGUAUAUAAAACAAGUGUCUGGACUUCUGAAAAUUGGUGUGACAAGUCUACGUAACAGUUCCUCAUCAUAUGAAGUUGUGCAAGAAACAUACUCAUGCUUGUUAAGACUGAAAAGUUCAGCAGAAGAAGAUGCCAUCCGGAUGCAGCCUGGAUCUGGUGAAACCCAUGUGUUCUUUCCAGAUAGUCUAGGGGAUGAUCUAAUUGUUGAAGUCCAAGAUUCCAAGGGGAAAUAUUAUGGCCGUGUCCUUGCUCAAGUUGCAACUAUUGCUGAUGACCCUGUUGAUAAGCUACGAUGGUGGUCAAUAUAUCGAGAGCCAGAGCAUGAGCUUGUGGGCAAACUACAGCUCUACAUUAAUUACUCUACAAGUUCAGAUGACAGUAAUCUCAAGAAACAUACUAUCUGGUUUAGAAUUUUGCUUCAUAUUAUGGGGUUUCGGAUAUGUAUACCAAGCUGAGCUACGCCCACAGCUGACUGUCUGACAUUGGUAUAUGAUUUAUUAAUGCCUGUGAUUAUGAAGGGCCAUAGCAACAGCACUUUGAGUCAUCAAGAGAAUCGACUAUUGGGAGAAAUCAAGGAUCAGAUUGAACAGAUUCUUUCUCUAGCAUUUGAGAACUACAAGUCUCUUGAUGAAUCAUCAUUAUCGGGUAUUAUGGAUGUUUUCAAGCCAGCAACCGGCCUUGCAGCACCUGCACUGGAACCUGCUGUGAAGCUAUAUACUCUUCUUCAUGACAUAUUGUCUCCUGAAGCACAAACAAAUUUAACCCAUUAUUUCCGGGUAUAAGAUGUUGAAAUUCUCACUAUAUUUUAUAUAACCUUGCUUUGAGUUUUCCAUUUCUUUGUAUCACUCAUGUAAAGCGUCUCCUCUAGGGCUGAGCAGAAUUCGGUUC